GACCGCGUAGCUCAGUCGGCACAGCAAAAAGAAAAUUGGGCUAGUAUUCCAAAGGUCGUAGGUUCGAUUCCCACCGUGGCCA